UGUUCCCCCGACAUGGUCAUUUUCUGGCAAAUAAUGUGAACCUGAAGGCUGUGCAAAUUUAUUCCUGGGAAGCCUGAUCUCCCUGCUGGGAACUACAAAGGGCUGUCCGAGAGGCUUACAAACAGCUAUCCCAGGCUGCUGCCUGGGCUUAAUCCUUCUGAUCCACUUGUGAUCCUGAAAGCUACCUCUCCUGCAAGGCUAUCGCCACUCCUGAGGUACCAAGAGUGGGGGAGAUGCCAAGAGACUGCACGGAUGCCAGAUAACAUCAUUGUGGGGGCCCCCUGGGGACCGGAGAUGCCCUUGCAGGGGUGGGAGGGGAUGACCCACAGCUCCACUCAGCCGGUGUUUCACCUCCAGGCACUCGGAACCCAUGCUGGCUCUUUGUCUCUCCUUACCUGAGCGCCAGAGGGGAACGGGAUGAUGAGUGUGAUAGCUCUGACUCACCCUUCGGCUCUGCAGAGAUAGGUGUUGCCUCAUUUAACAAUAAGAGCGAAAAACUGAAGCUAUUUAAAUCAUAAUAAAAUGUUGGAGGCAUUCUCUCUUGAUUUUUGCUCUUUCUAGUGGUGACCCGAGUUUAUCAUAUCCCUCAAGAGGAGACCUUUACGAUGCUAAGGAGAUUACCAGUCCGAAGGAGUUCAUUCAUAUGAAAAUCUAAAUCAUGUUUUUAGUUAGAUGAAACACACUGAAUGCAGAAGUUUGCAGCCAGACCAAUUAGACCCCAGGAGGGAGGCCCUGAGUUAGGGUCAGUGGGACUAAUAAACUGCCCUCCGUUUUUGCUAUCACACAGCAUGGAAAGCAACCCUGAACAUGCCUUUUGUUUACAGGGGGAGGACCAUGCUCACGUAUUUGCUGCAGGUAUUUCCUGCCUCCUCAGUGAUGCCACUGUGCCAGGAGAACAUCAGUUCAAUCAACAACAGUUUCAAUUUGCCAGUUUCUAAGCUUCACUCAUACAGAGGGCCCAAGGAUGGCAGCUUCUUCACCCCGCCACACUCACCACAGGUACAUCUUUCGGUAAUACAACGACCAUUCACCCCGCCACUUCAUUUAUGAUGACACUUUAUUACCUACCGUAUGGCAUCAUUUACUCACUGAUGGUACUUCUAACAUCACUUGGGAUCAGUCUGUGUCAUUUACUUGGGUUGCAUCACUUGUUUAGUGGCUUUAUCCGUUACAUCGUUUAACAUUCAAAGACAUUGACUCCAUGCUUUCAUUUUAUUAUCAAAACACCUCAUUUAUUCAGUGAUUUUAAGCUACCCCUGAAGUUAGGUGGGGUUGCACAUGCUGUGACAUUUUUUAAAGCCUGGCAGGAACGGUAAGCCUGGCAGAAGUGGACAUUGCUCUGAGUUCAUUGCACAGUGUCAUGGGCUUUGUCCCUUCCCCUAUUGGUGGCAAACAGUGUUAAUGAGAAAGGUAUCAGCAGCAGAG